GGCGUGUCUGGUUAGGGUUGUUUAUCUGCCUAUAAAAUUGUUUCUGUUUGUGCUAUGCGUGUGCGUUCGUCCGGUGUAAGCGAGCGAGUCACCGUACUUCCGGGCUUUUGUGUGCAUGGUGACGAGGUAGGAGCGUUUGCAGUGAGUGUUUUGAAAUGCUGAUGGUCUUGCACUGGGUUUACGAACCGAUUUUACUUAGGUGGACUGAGGAGCUUUUCGGGAAGUCCUUUAAUCGUGGUCUGUUAUGGAGACAGUCGUUUUGUACAGCUACAUCUGUGCUUCGUGAGUCGCAGUAGAGGUGCAGGUCAACGUGCAAGGGACGUCGCAGUGGGCUGCUGUAGUGGGCUUGUCGUUUGCUGGGUGGCUUUUCUGCACUGUGCAUCGUUUAAUAGUUUUUAUGUUUCGCCGACUAAUUGUUACCUGUUCUAUCCAACUACGGCUGCUUCACGCUGUGUCUAAUUUGUUUGCUUCGUUUUGCUCAGCUGCGCGUCUCAUUUCAUACAUUUGGUCUUUGGAACUGCGCUCUUCCAUCUGCUUUCAUGCGGCUGCAUUAACAGCGGAUUGAUAUUGACAUUAAUAUAAUGCUGUCGGGUGACGACUGUGUAUUGCUGCAUCAACUGAGAACUUGCAGGGUCAGCUGGUCUGUGGUCUGGACUCGGGGUAUGCCGUUUAUUUCCCACCAGUACUGUGAGUAACUGAUGGAAACGUGGCGUGCAACAGGGUAAUUGCUAUCUAACUGUCACUAGCAUUGUUCUCUUCCGUCUGGGGUUAUUGUGUUCGAUGUAAUUGUGUAUUUUGUAUUAUUCUCCUUUGUUUAUUAUAAUUUUUCAUGAUUUCGUUUUUUUUUUUUUUUUUUUGUUAUUUGUUUGACUUUGUAGUAUGUCUUUUGGUUCUUGAUCAAUCCAGUGGAUUUAUUAUUAUUAUAUUAUUGUUGUUCUUUUUGUGUACCUGUGUUUGGUGGUUCUUUGUACCGGCGUUCUGCUUCUUUCUGUCUGCUGGUAACCCAGUAGCUGGGCCACUUUAUGGAACCAGUAGUUUUGGAUGUGACUGUUGAGAACCAGGUUGCUGUAUGUGAUGCUUGUUUUAAUUUAUGUGUUUUUGAACUGUGAUUCUGUUUCUUUUCCCUUCAGGAGUGGGGUGGCCGCCGGCAGCAGUGUAGCCUCUUGUGGUGGUGGCCCCUUUACCUAUUUGCAGUGAUCACAGUGGAGUGUGCCGUGCUGGGGUGUGUGUGUGUGUGUGUGUGUGUGUGCACGCGUGAGUGCUAUUUCCUUUGCUCAAAGGACGCCAGGCCUUCCCCCUCCUUGAAUAUCCUGGUGGCAGAGUAGUGGUUGGUGAGUACCUUUUGUGGCACGCCAUGGAUAGUGAAUUGCAGGAGAUGCGGGAUUUGAUAGCCCAAUUACGGAUGGAUAAUGAGAGGUUGCGACAGGAGCGUGCGGCAGUUGAGCUUCCCGAUCCUGGCACACCUUCUGUUGGUGCAGCAUGCCCAUCUACACCACGAUCAGCUGAUGUAAGUGCUGGUACAGUUGAAAGAUUUGUAUUUAUUCCGAGGGACCGACGCUGCCCAAAUUUUAAUGGCAGGUCUGGUAUCAGUAUCGACGAGUGGCUUGAGGAGGCCCAAGCACGUAUGCGAGUUCGGAAUAUGACCUCUGUGGAGCAGGCGUUUUUCUUGUAUGAUCAUCUUGACGGAGAGCCCCGCAAUGAGAUUAAAUAUCGUUCUAGUGCUGAGAAAAGCGAUCCAGAUAAAAUUAUUGCAGCGCUGCGUGAGGUGUAUGGUUGUGCUGAGUCAUACAUCGCACUGCAAGAAGCAUUUUUCUCUCGCCGGCAGCACGAAGGAGAAACAUUAUUGGAGUUCUCCUUGGUGUUAUUGAGUUUGUUUGAGAAGGUAAAAAGCCAAUCGCCACGCAAAGUUUUAAAUGGUGA